rnacentral:lncRNA from 1 species
UAUCUCUAAACUUUCUUUUCUCUCAAGAACACCACAGUCACAACCACACUCACCUUCAUAUCUCUCUGAAAUUUCUUUAUCUCUCAAGAACACCUGCAUCCCCCACCACCACACCACCACCGUCACCACCACAGUCACAACAACAUCCGUCACCAACCACCACCACAACCACAAACCUCCAGCACAGUCACCACCGUCAGCGUCGCAGCACCGUAUCAGCUCCGAUUUGUAUUCCGAGCACGUCGUAGAGUGAAGAUUGAUUAGUAAUCCGUUGAGAUCUGGUCGAAAUCGACGCUGUUCGUUCAGCUGUGGCGAAAUUGGCAGAAAUUGGUUGUCGAUUGAUGGUGAAAUUGGGGGAAAUGAAUCUGUUUGUGAUUUGCUUUGAAUCUGUUUUUUUAAUGUUUGAUCAGUCUAUGGGAAGUAAACUUUUAAAAGUCAGUGAUAAGUGUAGAAUACAGAUGAUCAGCUGCUGAAACUGGGUCAUGAUUUUAGAUUAGUGGAUUGGUGGUGGCAGUGGGGCGGCACUAGUGGUGGAGGUGAGACGGUGGUGGUGGGUGUUUGGAGGUGGCGAUAGUGCGAUGGUGGUGGCAGUGGUGGGGAUGAUGGUGGGAAUUUAUGUGAUAAUUUAUUCUGAGAUCUCAUUUAUUCUUGGUUACUAAAUCAAAACAAACAAAAAGGUGGAAAUUUAUGUUAAGGUUUAAGGUAUGUCAUGAUCAGAUGAUUUAUAUAACAGAUUAGUCCUCAUGGGGUAACAACGAGAGAUGAGAAGGUCUUCAAGUUUGCCUGUGGAUGGAAACGGUGGUUACAUGAAAUCAAGUGCCAGAAACCAUCAUCUCUUUGGACAUGCUUGUUGAAGGGUGUUGUUCAUCUUGGUCACAGGAAUCUAGUGACGAUACAAGAUGUGUUGAUAAAGAAGGAUUAUAGUUUGAUUUUGUACAAGUAUGUGUAAAACGGUAGCUUAUACGAUGGUUUGUU